rnacentral:tRNA from 1 species
GCCGUGAUCGUAUAGUGGUUAGUACCCCACGUUGUGGCCGUGGUAACCCAGGUUCGAAUCUGGUCACGCAGCA